UACGUAGGGCGCAAGCGUUGUCCGGAAUUAUUGGGCGUAAAGAGCUCGUAGGUGGCUUGUCGCGUCUGCCGUGAAAGCCCGUGGCUUAACUACGGGUCUGCGGUGGAUACGGGCAGGCUAGAGGCUGGUAGGGGCAAGCGGAAUUCCUGGUGUAGCGGUGAAAUGCGCAGAUAUCAGGAGGAACACCGGUGGCGAAGGCGGCAUCCUGGACCGGUAUUGACGCUGAGGCGCGAAAGCCAGGGGAGCAAACGGG
rnacentral:rRNA from 1 species